UGAGGUUGGGGACAGGCGGCUCAGAGCGCUGGAAAUGUGAUGACCACGGGGAAACUCUGCUCCAGCCGAAACGCUAGCUGCAGCCCGGGGCUGAGCGGGAGAUACGCCGGCUGCGUCGAGGGCUGCCAAGUGCAGCCAAGAGAAACGAGAUGCCUACAAACAAACCUGACAAAACAGGAGGGAAGAAAGGGACAAGCUAAUUGGAGACAGGAGAGUUUUAUCACCGGCUAUCAGCACUCUGCACUGUCAGAGAGAGGAGAGUCAGCUGCAGUAAAUCACCACUGAAGAGCAUCUGAGGAGAACAAGCCUGAGCAGCCGUGGGAAUAAAACCUGGACUGCUCCAAUUAAAUCUGUGUUCCUAUUUUUGCAGCGUGCUUAGAAGAUUCAGCGGCCGAGAGCCAGGUCCAUGAUUAAAGCACUAUCAGCGCAGGGUUUUAGUAGUGUGCGGUACAAAGCAAUACAAAAUAAAAUUGAUUGAAGGCUUAGUUUGGAUAUUUUAGGCUCCUUAUGCUACAGAACUACAAAAUCAUUCUCAUACUAAUUCAGAAAUCGUCCCCAUUCUGUAGAAGACGCCAUCCUCCCUCAGGAAAACAAACUCCACUGGGGACAACUUAUUGCUACAAAUAUUUACAUUUUUCUUCUCUUGGAAUAAAGCAUGUCUGAAGACCUUGA